GUGCACCCUCUCCCACUGAGGCCAUACAAGACAGUCCUCUGCUACACAUGUGCCUGGGGCCAUGAACCUGCCCAUGUAUGCUCCUUGGUUUUGGUUUAGUCUCCGAGAGCUCUGAGAGGUCCCCAUUAGUUGACCCUGUUGUUCUUCCUAUGGGGUUGCAAUCCCCUUCAACUCCUUCAGUCCUUCCUUUAACUCUUCCGUACUGGUCCCUGACCUUAACCCAGUGGUUGGCUAUAAGUACCUGCAUCUGUCUCAGUCGGUUGCUGGUAGAGCCUCUCAGAAGGCAACCAUGCCAGGCUCUUGUCUGUAUGCACAAUAUGGCCUACUAAUAGUGUCAGAACCUGGUGUGUGCUCAUGGGAUGGAUCCCAAGUUGAGCUGCUCACUGGGUGGUCUUUCAGUCUCUGACCCAUUUUUGUUCCUACAUUUCUUUUAGUCAAAAACAAUUCUAGGUUAAAAAAAUUGAAGACGGGAGGGUGGUCCCCUGCCUCAACUGGGGACCAUGUCUAUCCAAUGAAGUUGGUCACUUCCGGUUUCAGCCCCCCACUGUUGAGCAUUUUGGCUGAUGUCAGACUCCUGAUAGCCUCUCACAUCCCAGGUCUCUGGGUAUUCCUAGAAGUUCAGUUCCCCCUGCCCUCUAACCCCCACUGCUACAUAUUUCAAUUAAUUGUCCUGGCCUUCUGGGCUUCCCUUCUGUCUCUCCUCAUACCAGAUCCUGCUCCCUCCUUUUCUGAUUCCCCCUCCCCUGUCCCACCCAGUUUCCUCCCUCCCACUGUUUCCCAUGAUUAUUUUGUACCCCUUGUAAGUGAGUUUCAAGCAACCACAUUUGGAGUUUCCUUCUUGUUAAGUUUCCUACGGUUUGUGAGUUGUACCAUGGAUAUUCUGAACUUUUUGGCUAAUAUCCUCUUAUCAGUGAGUUGUAUCAUGGGCUCCGUGGGGGGUCCCAGUUGGGGUGGUUAUUUGGGCGGGAGUCUUGUCUGUGUCCAUGGUUACAGCAGAUCCCUUGGGAGACCUGCAGACUGUGGGGCGGGAAGAGCGGCACACAAGCCAUUCUGCCCCAGCCGAGGUACAGACUGGCAAUCCCUGACAUUAUUAAUGAUACUCUGUUACACUUGUAGACAGGAUCCUGGCAUAACUGUCCUCUGAGAGGCUCUACCUAGCAGCAGACUGAAACAUAUACCCACAGCUAAACAUUGGAGGGAGGUUGGGACUCUUAUGGCAGAGUCGUGGGAAGGAUUGAAGGCCCUGAAGGGAAUGGGAACCUCACAGUAAGUUGAACAGAGUCAGCUAACCUGAACUCCUGGGAGCUCUGGUGCCAAACUAAAAACUAGCAGGUUAUCUUCCUGAAACGGUUCUGCCAUGGACUGCAAAUCUACGAUGAAUUUGCUUCUUUAGGCAAGGCCGAGGAGAUUACAUCUGAGGAAAGAUGCCUGCUGUUAUAUGCUUUUCCUGUUAUUAUUAAAUAUAUAACAGUCACUAGGUGUUGACCCACCUUUUUGAGGAGAUUUAUGCAGACCUACGAAGAUGUACUAUCUUGUAGUGAUACCAUAUAGACAAAUAGAUAAUGAUUCUAUAUAAUUCCUGAUUUGAUUCAAACAAUUUUAAGAAGAAAGUUUUUUGAGAUAUUUUUAGUUGCUAGAAGGAUGUAAUAAAGUUAGAAUCAAGAAUAAAAUGUGCCCACUUCUCCUAAUAGUAAGUAAAGGCUGCAUAAUAAGAAAUACAAUGAGUUCUUAUCACUCACUACACUAAAAUGAGAAAUAGGCCCGGGACAAAUUUGAGUUAAAGGAAAAACAUUUAGGUCCAAGCAUAAAGUCACAGGUAUGAACUAUGAUAAGGUAAGGCCAUGUAAAAACUAUUGCUUUUAACUUAUAAUGAGUAUAUUAUAAUGAAACACUGCUGUGGUUUUAAUACCAACAUUCUUCUGUAAGUUCCAUUUUAUGUAACAUUUUAUCUCUGAGGUAAUUAUCUAUAGAACUUUUUGUCUAAGAAGGUAUAGAAAGACCAGAGAAAAGAAAUAAAGUAGUUGGUUGAAUGAUUUGGCUUGGGGAGCUUUGACCCAUCCCUCCAUCCAUUCAUCCAUCUAAAUGUGUAUGUCUGUCUGUCUAUAUGUAUGUGUGUAGGUAUAUGUGUAUAUAUGUAAGCAUCCAUGAAUACUUGUAGAGUUGAUUAUGACAGAUGGUUGGGCCCAGUCAGAAUGUGGGUGUAUGAAUAUUUGAAUGUAUAUGUGUCUGUGCAUAUUUUCCUAUAUAAAGCAUCUUAAUUCUUUGCCUUUCUUUCCUCUAUGGUUCACAACAAGUUAAUCAGCUUACCCAGAGAGGUUUCUGGCCGACUCAUUAGAGAAAGGAGAAACAGCAAUGAACUUAGCAACUAACUUUUACUUAGUCCCCUGCUAUUUUACGUUAAGGUGCUAAAUGCCAACAUAUAUGGUCCCUCAUUCUCUGGGUCUUUUGAAUAUGGGAUCCAGAAUACUGAAAACAGUUUAGCUGCCCUUCAGAUAUAUGCCUGUCCCUCAAAUGGAGACCCUGACUGUUGAGGGACAAGAAGUAUACUUUUAUUCUAUAUGGGGCUGUGAAAUAUUAGCUCCCUGGGUAACCGAUAAGGAUAAUCAUAUUCAAUUACAAAGGUUGAGAGCCAUUCUGAAAACUGGAAAAAAAAUCAACCCCAUUCAAGUUAAGAUAAAAGGUGAUAUAAGAAAUCUAUGGAACC
rnacentral:lncRNA from 1 species